rnacentral:rRNA from 1 species
GUGUCAGCAGCCGCGGUAAUACGUAAGGGGCUAGCGUUGCUCGGAAUUACUGGGCGUAAAGGGCUUGUAGGCGGCCUUGUAAGUCGAAUGUAAAAAACCACGGCUCAACCGUGGGGCUGCGUUCGAAACUGCAAGGCUUGAGUUUGGUGGAGGGCGAUGGAAUUCCCGGUGUAGCGGUGAAAUGCGUAGAUAUCGGGAAGAACACCGAAGGCUAAAGCAGUCGUCUAUGCCGAAACUGACGCUGAGGAGCGAAAGCAUGGGGAUCAAACAGGAUUAGAUACCCUGGUAGUCCAUGCCGUAAACGAUGUAUACUAGGAGUUGGCGGUUUCCGUUAGCUCCGUAGCAAACGCAUUAAGUAUACCGCCUGGGGAGUACGGCCGCAAGGCUGAA